AGAGUUUGAUCCUGGCUCAGGAUGAACGCUGGCGGCAUGCCUAACACAUGCAAGUCGAUCGGUAAGGCUCUUCGGAGUACACGAGAGGCGGACGGCUGAGUAACGCGUAGGAACACACCCUGCAGUGAGGGAUAAGACACCGAAAGGUGUUCUAAUACCGCAUACGGUCUUCGGAUUAAAGCAUUUAUGCGCUGAAGGAGUGGCCUGCGUCAUAUUAGAUAGUUGGUGAGGUAAUGGCUUACCAAGUCGAUGAUGUGUAGCUGGUCUGAGAGGAUGAUCAGCCAGACUGGAACUGAGACACGGUCCAGACUCCUACGGGAGGCAGCAGUGAGGAAUAUUUCACAAUGAGCGAAAGCUUGAUGGAGCAAUGCCGCGUGCAGGAUGAAGGCCCUCGGGUUGUAAACUGCUUUUAUAAGAGAAGAUUAUGACGGUAACUUAUGAAUAAGGGACGGCUAACUACGUG
rnacentral:rRNA from 1 species